UGUAACCGCUUAUCAUCUACAGGGUUGCAGGGGCUGGAGCAGAUUCCAGCUUACAUUGGGGAGAACCAAGGUACGCCCCCGGCAGGUCAUUAGUCAAUCACUGGGCUGACACAGAGCUAGACAACCAGGCUCACAUUCACACCUAUUGGCAAUUUACAGUCAACAAUGAACCUAACCUGCAUGUCUUUAGACUGGGAGGAGGCUAGAGAACGGG